rnacentral:rRNA from 1 species
UACGUAGGGGGCUAGCGUUGUCCGGAUUUAUUGGGCGUAAAGAGCGUGUAGGCGGCCAGGUAGGUCUGCUGUGAAAACUCGAGGCUCAACCUCGAGACGUCGGCGGAAACCAUCUGGCUAGAGUCCGGAAGAGGAGAGUGGAAUUCCUGGUGUAGCGGUGAAAUGCGCAGAUAUCAGGAAGAACACCCGUGGCGAAGGCGGCUCACUGGACCGGAACUGACGCUGAGGCGCGAAAGCGUGGGGAGCAAACGGG